rnacentral:rRNA from 1 species
UACGUAGGGGGCAAGCGUUGUCCGGAAUCAUUGGGCGUGAAGCGCGUGUAGGCGGUUCGGUAAGUCUGCUGUGAAAGUCCAGGGCUCAACCCGUGGGAUGCCGGUGGAUACUGUCGAGCUCGAGUCCGGAAGAGGCGAGUGGAAUUCCUGGUGUAGCGGUGAAAUGCGCAGAUAUCAGGAGGAACACCGAUGGCGAAGGCAGCUCGCUGGGACGUGACUGACGCUGAGACGCGAAAGCGUGGGGAGCAAACAGG